rnacentral:rRNA from 1 species
UACGUAGGGGGCUAGCGUUGUCCGGAAUCAUUGGGCGUAAAGAGCGUGUAGGCGGUCCGGUAAGUCCGCUGUGAAAGUCGGGGGCUCAACCCUCGAAUGCCGGUGGAUACUGUCGGGCUAGAGUGCGGAAGAGGCGAGUGGAAUUCCUGGUGUAGCGGUGAAAUGCGCAGAUAUCAGGAGGAACACCGAUGGCGAAGGCAGCUUGCUGGGACGGUACUGACGCUGAGACGCGAAAGCGUGGGGAGCAAACAGG